rnacentral:rRNA from 1 species
UUUUUAUGGAGAGUUUGAUCCUGGCUCAGGAUGAACGCUGGCGGCGUGCCUAAUACAUGCAAGUCGAGCGAACAGACGAGGAGCUUGCUCCUCUGACGUUAGCGGCGGACGGGUGAGUAACACGUGGAUAACCUACCUAUAAGACUGGGAUAACUUCGGGAAACCGGAGCUAAUACCGGAUAAUAUAUUGAACCGCAUGGUUCAAUAGUGAAAGACGGUUUUGCUGUCACUUAUAGAUGGAUCCGCGCCGCAUUAGCUAGUUGGUAAGGUAACGGCUUACCAAGGCAACGAUGCGUAGCCGACCUGAGAGGGUGAUCGGCCACACUGGAACUGAGACACGGUCCAGACUCCUACGGGAGGCAGCAGUAGGGAAUCUUCCGCAAUGGGCGAAAGCCUGACGGAGCAACGCCGC